rnacentral:lncRNA from 13 species
GCGGCAUCCAGGAAUGUGGGCCCAAGUCCCUGUGCUUCCGGCAGGGGGAAACUCCCCCUCGGGGAAAUAAUUGUGACUUGGACGGUGAACUGGAAUGUUUGGAGACACAGGCUAUGGACUAGAUAGGGUGUAGGCAGAUCCACAGGAGUCCCUGAUCUACCAGGGGGUAGAAGGCAGCCAUGGAAGAGACCGGCUAGCGUCAGGGCGUCUCAGCGGGGUAGAGACGUGGUUUCACCGUGUUGCCCAGGCUGGUCGCGAACUCCUGAGCUCAGGCCGUCUGCCCGCUCGCUGCAGCCUCUCAAAGUGCUGGGAUUAUAGGCGUGAGCCACCGCACCUGGCAGAGUCUGGAUAUUUCUUUACAGACCUUGGAGGGCAAGUCCCUUAUCAGGCUCUGUACCAGCGACCAGCCUCUUUGCCACUGACCAUGGAGGUUUUCUUCCCCCGUCACUGCUAUUUUUCAAGGUCUCCCUUUUCUCUGAAACACAACAAUAUUUCAGUGAUGCCAGUUAAUAACCCUACAGUUAUCUCUAAGUGUUCAAGUGGAAGGAAGGGUUGCUCGUCUCUCACCUUAAAUCAAAAGCUGGAAAUGAUUAAGCUUAGUGAAGGAAAGCAUGUUGAAAGCCAAGUUAGGCCAAAACCUAGGCCUCUUGCACCAACCAGUUGUGAAUGCAAAGGAAAAGUUAUUGAAGGAAAUUAAGCCUGCUACUUCAGUGAACACGUGAAUUAUAAGAAAGCAAAAUAGCCUCAUUGCCUAUAUGGAAAAAGUUUGAGUGGUCUGGAUAGGAGCUCAAACGAGCCACAACAUUCCCUUAAGCCAAAGCCUAAUCCAGUGCAAGGCCCUAACUCUUUUCAAUUACAUGAAGGCUGAAAAAGGUGAAGAAGCUACAGAAGAAAAGUUGAAAGCUAACAGAAGUUGGUUUAUGAGAUUUAAAGAAAGAAGCUGUCUUUAUAACAUAAAAGUGCAACGUGAAGCAGUAAGUACUGAUAUAGAAUCUGCAGCACGUUAUCCAGAAGAUCUAGACAAGAUCAUUGAUGAAGCUGGCUACGCUAAAACAAAUAGAUUUUCAGUGUAGACAAAACAGCCUUCUAUUAGAAGAUGAUGCCAUCUAAAACUUUAUAGCUAGAGAAAUUAAGUCAAUGCCUGGCUUUGAUGCUUCUAAAGACAGGCUGACUGUCUUUUUAGCAGUUCAUGCAGCUAGUGACUUAAGUUGAAACCAAUGCUCGUUUACCAUUUCAAAAUCCUAGAGCCCUUAAAAAUUAUGCUAAAUCUACUUUGCCUUGCUCUACAAAUGCAACAACAAAGCCUGCCUGAGAGCACAUCUCCUUACAGCAUGAUUUACUGCAUUUUUUUUUUUUUUUGAGACAGAAUCUUGCUCUGUCACCCAGGCUGGGGUGCAGUGGCUCUAUCUCAUCUCACUGCAACCUCCUUCUCCAUGGUUCAAGCGAUUCUCCUGCCUCAGCCUCCUAAAGUAGCUGGGAUUACAGGAGUGUACCACCACACCCAGCAGAUUUUUGUAUGUUUAGUAGAAAUGGGAUUUCGCCAUGUUGACCAGGCUGGUCUGGAACUCCUGACCUCAGGAGAUCUGCCCACCUUAGUCUUUCAAAGUUCUGGGAUUACGUGGCUGGCCAUUUUACUGAAUAUUUUACACUGUUGAGACCUACUGCUCAGGAAAAAAAAAGGAUUCCUUUUAAAAUAUUACUGUUCAUUGACAAGUUCUCCUGAUCACCCAAGAGCUCCUAAGAAGAUGUAUAGAAGAUGAGUGUUAUUUUCUUGACUGCUAACACAACAUUCAUUCUGCUAUCCAUGGAUCAAGGAGGAAUUACGACUUUGAAGUUUCGUUAUUUAAGAAAUACAUUUCAUAAGGCUAUUGUUGUUAUAGAUACUUGAUUUAUGGAUUUGGGCAAAGUAAAUUGAAAACUUUCUGAAAAGAAUGUAUCAUUCUAGAUGCUAUUAAGAACAUUUAUGAUUCAUAGAAUGAGGUCAAAAUAUUCCCAUUAACAAGAAUUCGGAAGAAGUUGAUUCCAGCCCUCAUGGAUGACUUUGAGGGGUUUAAGACUUCAGUGGAGAAAUAACUACAAACGUAGUGGAAGUAGAAAAAGAACUAGAACUGGAAGUGGAGCCUGAAUGUGACCAAAUUGUUAGAAUCUCAUGACAACAUUUUAAUGGAUGAAGAGUUGUUCAAAGAAAGUGAUUUCUUGACAUGGAAUCUACUCGUAGUGAAGAUCUGUGAAGACUGCUGAGAAUGACAGCAGUGGAUUAGGAAUAUUACCAACACUUAGUAGAAAAGGAGCAGCAGGAUUUGAAAAGCUUGACUUCAACUGUGAAAGAACCUCUGCUGUGGGUAAAAUUCUAUCACACAGCACCGCAUGCUACAGAGAACUAUUUAAUAGAAGUAACAGUCAAUCUACUUCAUUGUCUCAUUUGAAGAAAUUGCCACAACCACUCCAGCCUUCAGAAGCCACCGCCCUGCACACAUCAACUGGACAAUGUUUUAGAACUCAGCACAUAUCAACUCAACAAUAUUUUUAAAUUAUGUACUUUGUUUUCUUAGACAUAACACUAUUACCCACUUGAUAGAUUAUAGUAUAGUGUAAACAUCACAUUUAUGUGCACUGGGAAACCAAAAAAUGUAUGACUCACUUUAUUGUGAUAUUUGCUUUAUUGCAGUGGUCUAAAGCCAAACUUGUAAUAUCUCCAAAAUAUGCCUGUACGUUAUUCAAGGACUGGUGGGAAGCUCCUUCUUUACAAUAUUUCUUGGUGAAGUAAGAAUGUAAUAUCUACAACUCCUAAGACUUUUCCGAUUCUAUCAAAUCAGCUCUCCCAUCUUUCCUUGCUUGUACAUUCUAUUUAUCAUCUUCCCCUACUACUCAAUUACAAAAGAAACUCAAUAUCAAGUAGGGUAUUUCCAUUGAAUUACACCUUAUUGAAGAGACUAUAUCAACUGAAGAAUAAUUACCUCUGGAUAAUUACUUUUACCUUCUUUUAAAAAAUAAUCCUUAUAUCACAUCUAAUUAUUAUUUGUUAAACAUCUCUGUUGUAAACGAGACUGCAAAACUCUCCAAAAGAAAAGACCCUAUCGAUAUUGUUUGCCUCUUUAGUUCAGCUCUUAGAAAAAGACCUAGCAUAAAGGAGGUGUUCAAUAAAUAUUUGUCAAG